AUCUACAGCCAUGCCACCCUGAAAAUGCCCGAUCCCGUCUCAUCUCGGAAGUUAAGCAGGAUCGAGCCUGGUUAGUACUUAGGUGGGAGACCAGCUAGGUAGACCGGAUGCUGUAGGCA
rnacentral:rRNA from 1 species